rnacentral:rRNA from 1 species
CCUACGGGAGGCAGCAGUGAGGAAUAAUUGUCAAUGGACGAGAGUCUGAACCUGCCACGUAGCGUGAAGGAUGACUGCCCUUUGGGUUGUAAACUUCUUUUAUAAAGGAAUAAAACGAGGCACGUGUGCCUUUUUGCAUGUACUUUAUUAAUAAGGUUCGGCUAACUCCGUUCCAGCAGCCGCGGUAAUACGGAGGAUCCGAGCGUUAUCCGGAUUUAUUGGGUUUAAAGGGAGCGUAGAUGGGUUGGUAAGUCAGUUGUGAAAGUGUGCGGCUCAACCGUAAAAUUGCAAUUGAUACUGGCAGUCUUGAGUACAGUUGAGGUAAGCGGAAUUCGUGGUGUAGCAGUGAAAUGCGUAGAUAUCACGAAGAACACCGGUGGCGAAGGCAGCUUACUAAACUGUGACUGACAUUGAUGCUCGAAGGUGUGGGGAUCAAACGGGAUUAGAUACCCCAGUAGUC